rnacentral:lncRNA from 1 species
GAUCCCUCGACUAAGGUCGGGAUGCCCCAAGGGUCGACCGUAGAGAACCAGACUCCCUCGACCUCGGAAAGCGUCGCAGGUCGGUAGAGCGUGCCCAGACCUGCCGACCUGACGAACGAUCCCCCGACUAAGGUCGGGAUGCCCCGAGGGUCGACCGUAGAGAACCAGACUCCCUCGACCUCGGGAAGAAGCCGUGAGGGGUGGAAAGGGUGGUUCCACCCGGGGCGCCACAAAGUGGACCCCCGGGAGCGGUCGACGAUCCCCGAUCCCCGAAGCGA